rnacentral:rRNA from 1 species
UAGAGAGGUGCUUGCACCUCUGAGAGCGGCGGACGGGUGAGUWWUGCCUAGGAAUCUGCCUGGUAGUGGGGGAUAACGUCCGGAAACGGACGCUAAUACCGCAUACGUCCUACGGGAGAAAGCAGGGGACCUUCGGGCCUUGCGCUAUCAGAUGAGCCUAGGUCGGAUUAGCUAGUUGGUGAGGUAAAGGCUCACCAAGGCGACGAUCCGUAACUGGUCUGAGAGGAUGAUCAGUCACACUGGAACUGAGACACGGUCCAGACUCCUACGGGAGGCAGCAGUGGGGAAUAUUGGACAAUGGGCGAAAGCCUGAUCCAGCCAUGCCGCGUGUGUGAAGAAGGUCUUCGGAUUGUAAAGCACUUUAAGUUGGGAGGAAGGGUCGUUACCUAAUACGUGACGAUUUUGACGUUACCGACAGAAUAAGCACCGGCUAACUCUGUGCCAGCAGCCGCGGUAAUACAGAGGGUGCAAGCGUUAAUCGGAAUUACUGGGCGUAAAGCGCGCGUAGGUGGUUUGUUAAGUUGAAUGUGAAAUCCCCGGGCUCAACCUGGGAACUGCAUCCAAAACUGGCAAGCUAGAGUAGGGCAGAGGGUGGUGGAAUUUCCUGUGUAGCGGUGAAAUGCGUAGAUAUAGGAAGGAACACCAGUGGCGAAGGCGACCACCUGGGCUCAUACUGACACUGAGGUGCGAAAGCGUGGGGAGCAAACAGGAUUAGAUACCCUGGUAGUCCACGCCGUAAACGAUGUCAACUAGCCGUUGGAAUCCUUGAGAUUUUAGUGGCGCAGCUAACGCAUUAAGUUGACCGCCUGGGGAGUACGGCCGCAAGGUUAAAACUCAAAUGAAUUGACGGG